CGGAGCACCCCUGAAGGAGUUUUCGGACAAUGGAAGGAAUGCUUAGUGGCGGACUGGUGAGUAACGCGUGAGGAACCUGCCUUCCGAGGGGGACAACAGUUGGAAACGACUGCUAAUACCGCAUAAUGCAUUUGGGUCGCAUGGUCUGAUGCCAAAGAUUUAUCGCUGAAGAUGGCCUCGCGUCUGAUUAGCUAGUUGGUGAGGU
rnacentral:ncRNA from 1 species